UACGUAGGGUGCAAGCGUUGUCCGGAAUUAUUGGGCGUAAAGAGCUCGUAGGCGGUUUGUCGCGUCUGCUGUGAAAACCCGAGGCUCAACCUCGGGCCUGCAUUCGAUACGGGCAGGCUAGAGUUCGGUAGGGGAGACUGGAAUUCCUGGUGUAGCGGUGAAAUGCGCAGAUAUCAGGAGGAACACCGGUGGCGAAGGCGGGUCUCUGGGCCGAUAUUGACGCUGGAGGAGCGAAAGCGUGGGGAGCAAACAGG
rnacentral:rRNA from 1 species